CCUGAUUAUCAGAAGAUGCAGUUUCUCUGGUUCCUGAAAUACUGUGGUGGUUUUUAGUUUAGUCAUUAGAAAGCCGGUGUUAUACUGUAGCUCCCCAAAACCCAGCAGAGAAUCAUAAACAGGGCUGGUGCUGGGUGGAGAGGAGGAAAGAUUAGUCACUUUGCUUCCUGGUCUGUCAUGCAGCCUUGUCCUGCUGGUGGGGCGGCUUGCAAGGCCAUGGCGUAAUUAAGGGGCUUGAGUCCGCAAGAAAGAUCCAAGAAGGAAACAGGAUGCGUGGAGUAGGAUGCAGGCCCGGCCCAGCCGGCUCUGCACGCCCUGGCAGGCGGAGGUGGCCUUCAGCCUCUGUGUGGUUAAGCAGUGUGAUUCUCCCUGGUGAAUGGAAUGGGAAGAAAAAAAUGCUCAUUGAGAAGUGCGUAUUUAGCGGAGCCCAGG
rnacentral:lncRNA from 1 species